rnacentral:rRNA from 1 species
GUGGGGAAUAUUGGACAAUGGGGGGAACCCUGAUCCAGCCAUGCCGCGUGUGUGAAGAAGGCCUUUUGGUUGUAAAGCACUUUAAGCGAGGAGGAGGCUACCGAGAUUAAUACUCUUGGAUAGUGGACGUUACUCGCAGAAUAAGCACCGGCUAACUCUGUGCCAGCAGCCGCGGUAAUACAGAGGGUGCAAGCGUUAAUCGGAUUUACUGGGCGUAAAGCGCGCGUAGGUAGCCAAUUAAGUCAAAUGUGAAAUCCCCGAGCUUAACUUGGGAAUUGGAUUCGAUACUGGUUGGCUAGAGUAUGGGAGAGGAUGGUAGAAUUCCAGGUGUAGCGGUGAAAUGCGUAGAGAUCUGGAGGAAUACCGAUGGCGAAGGCAGCCAUCUGGCCUAAUACUGACACUGAGGUGCGAAAGCAUGGGGAGCAAACAGGAUUAGAUACCCUAGUAGUCC